UAUUUUGAGAUACUAGUAGGCUGUACAGAGACAGAAGCAGGUGAGACAAAGACGCAAAAUGGAUACUGUCAUUGAGGAUUACUUCAGACGUGGAUUGUAGGAAAGUCUUAUUGAUUAUAUUUCAGUUAAUUUAGUGAGGUGUAGUUCAUAGAUGCCCACUAGAUGGCGCCAGUGUUAGUUUUUGUUUUGUCCCUUGCGAGAUCCUGUAGUUCCCUCGUGCAGUCUACCGAGCUGGAAUCAGCUGCACUGUGUGUUUGGUGGCAAAUACUCUAUAAAUUCACCAUUUGUGUGCGUCAAUUUGACCAAACCACACAUAUACCACACACUUACGCUACACCGACAUACACACACUCACACACCUCUGAUCACAACGUCCACACUGUCUUGUACCGAGCUGAUGUCCCAGUGCUGUGUACUAAACACUAAAUUGGCUAUUAAAGAUCUGUUGAAUGAA